UUUCCGCUUGACAAAAGCCUACAGAUAAGAUCAGGUUAAUUCACAGACAAUACAAUCUCCCUGAAUUGGAACAACCCUCCAGCAGGCUGGGAGGGAGGGAUGAUCGGGGGAUUCAGGGGGUGUGCAGGGUUGGAGCCCCCAGACUAGGUCCUGCUUUGCCUGGAAAAGACUGGCUUGACUACUGAGCUCUCACAGUGGAGAAGUGGGGUCUGACAUGAAGGAAGAUAUCCUGUGCUCCAUGGAUCCGGCUCCCGAAGCUAGCUGCUGGCUCCUUGCUGGAGCUUCAGAAUGAAAUUUAGAAGGUCGAAAGACAUCAUAUCGCUGUUUUCAAAGGAAAAGAGGUGCCUGCAAAAGAAGGAAAUAAGCUCAAAGCACACAUAGAGUUCACCAGGGUUACACAGCCAGGGAGUGAUGAGGUCUGAACUUGGAACCAGAGCCCGCACCCCAGACCCCCACGCCGCCCUGACCCUCUAUCUCCGUCUCCAGGAUGGAGAAGACACAGCGUCGGCCAUCCAGGGGGUACGGAGCAUCAGAAGCAAACAGAGAAGGCCUGUAUUCAAAGGCCCCUGGGCCAACACUUGGAUUCGGCUUCCCUCCAGACCUUGGGCAGGGUGCUCCACAUGCUCAACGCCCCAGGCCUUCCCAUAGCCCUGUGAGGCCCAUCUGUUAUUUCAUUAAGUCCUUCCCCGUAAUCCUAUCAGAAGUAAGACACUGGGCUCACCUCUGAGGGGACUUGAGUUGCCCUACAGAUGUGCGUCUAUUACAGCUUCAAGAGCAGAUGAGAAAUCCCAGGGAAAGGGAAAUUCGGCAGCAAAAUCCAUUCGACUGAAGGUACCCAGAAAUGUGACCGGGCCACAGAGUCCUUGGAAUCUCUAGAUCGCCCUGGCAAUAAGAUCAAAGUCUUCUCCUUCCUUGGUAGCACUUGGUGGACAUGUUUUGUGUUAAUCUGCACCUGAUAAUGACGCUCAUCGCAAGUCCCUCCAGUGAGGGAAUGAAUUGAUGAUUGAAUAAGCUCUCCCUCCAGCACGUGGCACACCAAGGGUGCCCAGAAGACAAUCUGUAAAUUAAAGUGCUACCAGCCAAAACAACCUCAGCCUGGUUGCUUAGCAGGCCUCACUCCUCCUUACAAGUGAGAAUGCUCUGGCCAAGCGGGGUUAAGUGGCUUGCCUGGCCAUGGAAUAUCUGAACUAGCAGGACACAGAAAGCUGGGCCACUACAGGGAUAAACAGUCUCUACCCUGAAAAUAUGAUUUCUUGGAACUGCCGCUCUGGAGGGAAGCAAGCUUCUACUUCAGCCCAGAACUCCUCGCUGGAUUGACACAUCACCACCCAAAGUAAAAGUGGCUGCGGGGGGCUGGGAGGAGGGUUGGGAGAGAUGUUUCCUUUGGGAGCUGGGUGUUUAGGGACCCAGGUGGCAGAGGCCCUGGCAAAGCCCUUGAGGCAGCACCGUCUCCUGGAAGGUAGGUCAUCUAGUGGAUCUGGCUCAAAUUCACAUGAGGGUCUAGGGAACUGAGCCCUGUCUCUCUGCAAAUGACAGGGCCACCAGAGCCGGGGGUUGACUCGUCACAGGCAGCGGCUAAUUCAGAUCCUGUGAUUGAAGACUUCGAACCUCAUCUCCGAUCUCGCCUACCCAUGCCCAGCCUCCUCUCUUAAAAAAUAAAUAUAUAUUUUUUGUCA